GACAGAGGAGCCAAGCGUUGUCCGGACUGACUGGGCGUAAAGCGCCCGCAGGCGGCCGUGCACGUGGGGUGUGAAAGCGCUCGGCUUAACUGAGCGAGGCCAUCCCAUACGGCGCGGCUCGAGCCGUCCAGAGGCCGGUGGAAUUGCCGGUGUAGUGGUGAAAUGCGUAGAGAUCGGGAAGAACAUCAGUGGCGAAGGCGGUCUGCUGGGCCGUUGCUGACGCUGAGGCGCGACAGCGUGGGGAGCAAACAGG
rnacentral:rRNA from 1 species